GUGAUACAGACAAAGCCAAGAAGAUUAGGGAAGCCGCCAUCUUCACCAUCUCCUUCGUCGCUUGCGAUUCUCCUUCCGGCAAUCAGCUAUUAUGGUCGAUCUUUAAGGCUCUAUGCACGUUUUGCGCCUACCAAACGCUUAGUUUCUCCUCUAACGCCUUCAGAGCUCUCAUAUAUAUAGAAUCCCUCGAGGUAAAAGCUCCAUCUUGUCUCAAACUUUUCUUUCUCAGUUUUCCGAUCGCUUUACUUUCUCACAUCCGUCGCAAAAAUGACUUAUCCAGCUGCUCCAGCCGCAUCAGCCGCCAUUGCCGCCGUUCCCUACUCCACCUUCAACUCUCUCCGCCUUGGAAGGUCCACUCAGUCCAUUGUUGGUCGGCUCAUCCGAUUCUAGGAUUCCAGUAACAUUAACAAGAAUGGAGAGUUUAUGGACAUCACCAUUCUCCUCCUUGAUGAACUGGAUUCUGUGAUCCACAGUUUCAUCCCUGCAAUCUCCAAACAAAACAGGAAAACUGAAUGAAUUAUGUUUUUAGCAACCGAAUCUAAAAGAAAUAAAAGACAUCUUACUUAACAAAUUAAAACCUUUUAUUUUGCAGAUUCCGACGACGACGAAGCACCCGAGGACCAACGACAAUGGAAUGAUGCGGACGAAGCCUAACAGAUGUAAGUAAACUCCUCUUCAAUAAUGCAUCACACUAUUAUCGCUCCCCAAUCUCACAAACUUAAGCUCUAAUCAUGUCAGGGAUCCCACAGGUGAUGCUGUCCCGACGACGGAGAAAAAAAAAAGAAAGAUAACCUAACGUUUUUUUAUUUAUUUUUAGUUUUUAAGUUCAAAUCAUGUUUUAGACAUAGAGCCCAACAUAACUUGAGCCCAAAUAUUUUAAACCCACAAUUACUUUUUCAUAAUGUAAAAACGUCAACCUUCGUUUAUGUUUUAUUAAACUAUUUUAAUCUUUAUGUUUUGUUAAACUAUUUCACACAGGAGGCAGAUCUCCUUAGAAGGGGAGCCACUCGCCACGAUGCUUCCAGUUUCACCAUUCUUGAAACUCUUAUGAACCACAAAGCCAAUAUAAGAGCUCUGUUUCAAUCCAACGGCUGGCUUUUGUCACAGACCACCGCUAAGCCUGAAGAGGGAAGAGAAGUGGAGUGCUGCGUUUUGGAAGAUGGUUACUUGGAGUUUACAAGAUGAAGAUGGAACCCGUGACGAGGAAGACGAGGAGAAGUGUUACUUGGAAUAUCCUAACGUUAAGGAUGUGGACAAUGUGUGAUCUUAGCGAUGAAAAUUAGUGUAGCUUUAAUAUAUGCUACUACGGUCCUUGAGCUCCCUAACAAGUACUAGCAAACAAUGUGUAUUUUGAAAAAAUAAAAUAAUUUUGUAAUGCAAGUAGUUUGAAAUUUUGAGUAUUUAUUCAAACAACAGAUAUAUACAGAGUUGAUAACUUGAUAUGGACCCCCAAAUAAGUUGGUGCUGCGCUGUCACAAUAUCUGUCUUUUUAAUUUUCAUAUACCUGACGUAAGCUUCUUUAUCUUCUUCUCUUUCCCUUUCCGUUGUUCCACGCUCUCUGUUUCAUGUUUAUGCCUUUUUCACAUUCUCUAUGUUUUACCUUAAUUAUACUUUUUGAAUUUUUCUUCCGUUUUGGGAGAUGUCUCUAACUUGAGUUAAUCGUCAAAAGCUAGGAUCAAUUUUGUUGUCUUAUUUCCGAUAAAUUUUAUUCUUUAAUUUGCACAAAUCUUAAACAAUACCAACAUCCCGUAAAUCAUACCGCCCCACCGAUAUCCAAAGUAACCAGCCCCGCGCUUGCGCGGGGUCUCAGCACCUAGUACUAGAUAAUAUCACAACUCAUAUAUGAUAGUUUAUCUUUUUAAUUUGUAAUUUUUCAAAAUUAUGAAAAAUAUAAUGUAAAAUGGUUAAUAUAUUGUAAUAAAAUUUAAUGUUAUUCUUACAUUAUUAACCUAUCAAAAAUAUUCAUUAAUUUUUAUCAAAAAUUUAAGUAAUCGAAAUUUUUAUAUUCAAUGAUAUAGAAAACUUAUUAUAAUAAUAUUGAAAUGGACUUUAUCCCGCGAUAUCGCAGAAAGUCAUCUAGUAAUAUUUAUUUGGCAUAGGGCAUAAAAAUGUCUUGGAACGGCUCUGUUUAUUGACAUGGAAAGUGGCAAAAACACCGGCGCCUUGGGAAUGUAUAAUCACAAGUAGCACGCAUUGCUUUCUCGGCAUAGAUGCAAACCUCCCGGCAUUCACUAUCCUUCAUAUAAUUUUUACUCCCUGAAUUAGGUUGCCUCUUGCAUGACCUCUGCCCUUCCACAAUCGUUGGUGCUUCUUUUUAUAUACAUUUAUUCAUUAAUAUAAAAGUAAAUAAACAUACAAAUUUAUUUAAAUUGUUUAUGGAAACUCUGAAGUUAUAGUUUAGAAUGUCUUGAAAUAAAUUUUAUAUUGCUGAUUAUUUGUGUACCAAACUAAACCUACUGAUUAACAAAUAUUAAAAUUUCCAAAUAAAUCUAUAUUAUAUCUAAGUAAUAUAAUAGAAUAUUUUCAAAUUUAGUAUUUUAUGAAUUUACCAUAAAUCUAUUAUAUAAUAGAAGAGUUUCUCUCCCCCUGAUGCGACACGUCAGCGGUUUGUGGGUCCCACUUUUUAAAAGUGUGAAAAAGUGUCAAAUAUGUGAUUCAAACCCAGGUUAUUGAGAUAUAAACACCCACAACUACAACACUACACUAAAGGAUACUUUGUACAAUGAUGGCCGAAACUAAUAUAUAUUAUGAAGGUCGGAAAUUAAUAUAACAUUGUGGACCCCACCUCUUUUUUUUUUUUUAAAUUGAUGGGUAACGAAUGGAAUUCGACAAAAAGUGGGCUUUGGGCUUAUUGAUUUUCUGUUUAUUAGGCUUUGUAUCUGUCCAAAGUGGUGAUACAGACAAAGCUAAGAAGAUUAGGGAAGCCGCCAUCUUCACCAUCUCCUUCGUCGCUUGCGAUUCUCCUUCCGGCAAUCAGCUAUUAUGGUCGAUCUUUAAGGCUCUAUGCACGUUUUGCGCCUACCAAACGCUUAGUUUCUCCUCUAACGCCUUCAGAGCUCUCAUAUAUAUAGAAUCCCUCGAGGUAAAAGCUCCAUCUUGUCUCAAACUUUUCUUUCUCAGUUUUCCGAUCGCUUUACUUUCUCACAUCCGUCGCAAAAAUGACUUAUCCAGCUGCUCCAGCCGCAUCAGCCGCCAUUGCCGCCGUUCCCUACUCCACCUUCAACUCUCUCCGCCUUGGAAGGUCCACUCAGUCCAUUGUUGGUCGGCUCAUCCGAUUCUAGGAUUCCAGUAACAUUAACAAGAAUGGAGAGUUUAUGGACAUCACCAUUCUCCUCCUUGAUGAACUGGAUUCUGUGAUCCACAGUUUCAUCCCUGCAAUCUCCAAACAAAACAGGAAAACUGAAUGAAUUAUGUUUUUAGCAACCGAAUCUAAAAGAAAUAAAAGACAUCUUACUUAACAAAUUAAAACCUUUUAUUUUGCAGAUUCCGACGACGACGAAGCACCCGAGGACCAACGACAAUGGAAUGAUGCGGACGAAGCCUAACUGAUGGGGCAGAUCUCCUUAGAAGGGGAGCCACUCGCCACGAUGCUUCCAGUUUCACCAUUCUUGAAACUCUUAUGAACCACAAAUCCAAUAUAAGAGCUCUGUUUCAAUCCAACGGCUGAAUUUUGUCACAGACCACCGCUAAGCCUGAAGAGGGAAGAGAAGUGGAGUGCUGCGUUUUGGAAGAUGGUUACUUGGAGUUUACAAGAUGAAGAUGGAACCCGUGACGAGGAAGACGAGGAGAAGUGUUACUUGGAAUAUCCUAACGUUAAGGAUGUGGACAAUGUGUGAUCUUAGCGAUGAAAAUUAGUGUAGCUUUAAUAUAUGCUACUACGGUCCUUGAGCUCCCUAACAAGUACUAGCAAACAAUGUGUAUUUUGAAAAAAUAAAAUAAUUUUGUAAUGCAAGUAGUUUGAAAUUUUGAGUAUUUAUUCAAACAACGGAUAUAUACAGAGUUGAUAACUUGAUAUGGACCCCCAAAUAAGUUGGUGCUGCGCUGUCACAAUAUCUGUCUUUUUAAUUUUCAUAUACCUGACGUAAGCUUCUUUAUCUUCUUCUCUUUACCUUUCCGUUGUUCCACGCUCUCUGUUUCAUGUUUAUGCCUUUUUCACAUUCUCUAUGUUUUACCUUAAUUAUACUUUUUGAAUUUUUCUUCCGUUUUGGGAGAUGUCUCUAACUUGAGUUAAUCGUCAAAAGCUAGGAUCAAUUUUGUUGUCUUAUUUUCGAUAAAUUUUAUUCUUUAAUUUGCACAAAUCUUAAACAAUACCAACAUCCCGUAAAUCAUACCGCCCCACCGAUAUCCAAAGUAACCAGCCCCGCGCUUGCGCGGGGUCUCAGCACCUAGUACUAGAUAAUAUCACAACUCAUAUAUGAUAGUUUAUCUUUUUAAUUUGUAAUUUUUCAAAAUUAUGAAAAAUAUAAUGUAAAAUGGUUAAUAUAUUGUAAUAAAAUUUAAUGUUAUUCUUACAUUAUUAACCUAUCAAAAAUAUUCAUUAAUUUUUAUCAAAAAUUUAAGUAAUCGAAAUUUUUAUAUUCAAUGAUAUAGAAAACUUAUUAUAAUAAUAUUGAAAUGGACUUUAUCCCGCGAUAUCGCAGAAAGUCAUCUAGUAAUAUUUAUUUGGCAUAGGGCAUAAAAAUGUCUUGGAACGGCUCUGUUUAUUGACAUGGAAAGUGGCAGAAACACCGGCGCCUUGGGAAUGUAUAAUCACAAGUAGCACGUGUUGCUUUCUCGGCUUCGAUGCAAACCUUCCGGCAUUCACUAUCCUUCAUACAAUAUUUUCUCCCUGAAUUAGGCUGCCUCUUGCAUGACCUCUGCCCUUCCACAAUCGUUGGUGCUUC